GCUUCGGUGACCUAGUGGUUAGAGCGUCCGCUCCGUAUGCGGAAGGUCUCGGGUUCGAAUCCCUCCCGAGUCU